UCAAUUUUAAAAAUAAAUUAACUUUUUUUGUGUAUUCCAGUCCCCCUCCCACCGAUAACGGAAAGUCUCUUUUUCGUAUUUAAAAAAAAAAAAAAAAAUGCCGGUGAAGACUCAGCAGAACCCAGGAAGCGCAGAAUCAAUCGGGAGAAAAAGUCUUUGGCUAGGGCUGGUUCAAGUCCCUGGUUCAAUGGGCUGCUCGAAGCCAGGACUGGAGAAAUGCAGUGCCCACAUGCUGGCCGCCACCUGAUUCCCUCCUCUCCUCCAGCGGCGGAGCUAGGAGACCCUCUUUGUAGAUAUUUCUGAAGUCUUGCCUGAGCUACACGCCUUCCCUCUACGCGAUAAACGCCCUGUUACGUUUAGGGACCUUGAGGUGUGCAUUUCACUCGAACUCGACCAAGCCUUGAUAAAUUAUUGGCCCAUGAUAAGGAUCACAUAUAAUAAACUUGGCAAUAAUGAACAAAUCAGACAGAAACAGAAAAGUCCGAUAAACUGGGGGUGAUGCUUUCAAUACGUCGUGCAGGGUGUGGUGUUGGGAGAUGUGAAGAACGUUAAAAAAAAAAAAAAUUUCUCUGCAACCCCAGGUAGCCAGCCAGGCAGCCAGCCCAGCCCUCUGGCGGACCUGCAAAGUGUUCCACCUUUCCGACCCUGCCCCACCCCCACAUGCAGCGGUUACACCUCUGGGAAGCUUUACCUUGGCCCCCUGACUUCACGCCGCUCUUGGGAGACCCACUUACUCAUUUCCCCAACAAAACUUCUUGGUUUCAGCCUUUGUCUGAACUCUGCCUGGGGUGGUUCAAUUUUAGACAGACUGGCUUAAAUUUCAGAGCAAUUUCAUCUCACUUAAUCAGACUUGAGCUUCCUGAUUUUUUUUUUUUUUUUUUGCCUCUUUGGUCGUUUUCAAAUGCUAAAUUAUAAUUGAAAAUAUAUUCCUUAAUUCUAUACUCCUACAUGUGAUGAGAAUUAAACUGAUGUAGGAAUAGAAUGGACAUUGUGGGGUGCCCACCGCCUGCCUGUGAGACCUUCAAGAGACAUUUAAUCUCCCAGCUCUAAACUUCCAGGGAUAUUACAUGUAAUGCAGGAGUGCCAACUAUUGCUUAGUAGCAUUUAACUUUUCAUAUGCUAAUAAUUCAAGCAGUGAGAACAUUUCAUAAAACUGAAAUUCUUCAUCAAAGGGAAACAUAUUUAUUCUUUUUCCCCUUGAAUUUAUAAUUCAUGAGCCAUAAAGAAAAAGGAACGUGUCCUCUGGCUAUGGAUGGAUGUAAAAGUUGAUAUACAUCCACACAUUUCUCUCAUCUCCUCUCCACCAAGGGAAUGGGGAAAAGGCCAACACAACUUAAAGCCAGAGGAUUAAGUUCCUUGUAUGCAAAAAAGGAUCCGAAAUAAAAGAGAUCUUGCAUGCAAAUCCCAUCUUUAAUGUUUGUGAGAUCCUGGAAACACAUUUCAUCUCCCUGGACCUUGAUUUUCUAGUUGAUAAGUAGAGAAAAAUACCUGCUUUGCAUAGUUGUUGUAAGGACGGAAUGUGUUAAACGUGAAGUGUCUUCAAUUCUGUGGACAUACUCAAAAAGCAUUAGAGCUCAUCUUCUGGCAUUGUAUUCCUUAAAUUUUUGUUGGUAAGUGUGUUAGCUUUCUGUUACUGUGACAAAAUGCUUGAGAUAUACAUCUUAUGUGGAUGAAAGAUUUGGCUCACAGUUCCAGAGGUUUCAGUCUACAGCCUUUGGGCCUCAUUAGUUUUUGGGCCCUGGAAAGGGAAUAUAUCAUGGUGAGAGUACCUGGUGGAAGAGGCAGCUGGGAAGCAAAAAGAGAGACAGAAAAAGGGUCCAGGGUCCCAAUAUCCCCUUCAAGGGCACAGACCCCAGUGACCCAACUUCCUUCCACGAGACCCUACCUCCUAAAGAUUCCACUCCCCCCAAAAAGCAUCCCAGGCUGGAGAAGUCUUCAACACAGAUACUCAUUCAAAGCACAGUGGAAGCAUCACCAACUGCUUUGUCCUGUGCUCUCUCAUGUGACCUGCUUCAGCUUUCUACCAUCUUCCCACUGACUCUCAGAUUGAGUUAUUCUGUGUCCCCAUGGACACAUCCCAAAACUUCCCAUUUAAUCCAACUUAUGAGUUUCCCGUCAGAAUUUCAGCUACCAGUCAGCCAGUCUUGGUUUGUAGGCACCAAAUUAAGAGAUAUGAGCUCCAGAUUCAUACAUUAUGAUAUGAACCAACUGAAUAACAUGGGGCAACUUGCAUUUCAGCUUUCUUUCUUAAAAAGGAGUUGCUUGGAUCACAAGAAUGUCAUCUUGUGAUCCAAGCAAAUAAUGUCAUCUUUCUUCCACCCACUUCAGGUUUUGACAUCCUAAGACCUAAUUUUUUCCAAUCCAUGUAUUUGGAAAAGUUUUUGUUAAUGUGUUUUAUGUGUUCAGCUUUGCAAGACAACAGAACAAAUUACUUCAGACAAAGAACUUUUAUCUAAGGUGAUGGGAGUUAGCAGUACAUUGUUUCUGAUCUCCCUUUCAAAAUAUAAAACAAUGGUCAUAUGUCUGAUAUAAACAAAGUACCCAUAACCAGGGACUUAGUACUUCAUAAUUCUCUAUGUAAAUGGUUCUUACACUUUUGGGUAAAGAACUUCUUUAUACUCUUAAAAAUUAU